CCUACGGGUGGCAGCAGUGAGGAAUCUUGCUCAAUGGACGAGAGUCUGAACCAGCCACGUAGCGUGAAGGAUGACUGCCCUCUGGGUUGUAAACUUCUUUUAUAAAGGACUAAAACGAGGCACGUGUGCCUUUUUGCAUGUACUUUAUGAAUUAGGAUCGGCUAACUCCGUGCCAGCAGCCGCGGUAAUACGGAGGUUCCGAGCGUUAUCCGGAUUUAUUGGGUUUAAAGGGAGCGUAGAUGGGUUGUUAAGUCAGUUGUGAAAGUUUGCGGCUCAACCGUAAAAUUGCAUUUGAUACUGGCAGUCUUGAGUACAGUUGAGGUAAGCGGAACUCGUGGUGUAGCGGUGAAAUGAGUAGAUAUAACGAAGAACCCCGAUUGCGAAGGCAGCUUACUAAACUGGGACUGACAUUGAGGCUCGAAAGUGUGGGUAGCAAACAGGAUUAGAUACCCUAGUAGUC
rnacentral:rRNA from 1 species